GACAGAGGGUGCAAACGUUGCUCGGAUUUACUGGGCGUAAAGCGCGCGUAGGCGGCUUUGCAAGUCGGGUGUGAAAUCCCCAGGCUUAACCUGGGAACUGCAUUCGAGACUGCAUUGCUAGAGUAUGGGAGAGGGAAGUGGAAUUUCCGGUGUAGCGGUGAAAUGCGUAGAUAUCGGAAGGAACAUCAGUGGCGAAAGCGACUUUCUGGUCCUUAACUGACGCUGAGGCGCGAAAGCAUGGGGAGCGAACGGG
rnacentral:rRNA from 1 species